CUUAUAAGUUACGUGAUUGAUCUGUCGAUCAUCAGUCGAGUGCUAGUUAUUGAAAUAGACGGAUCUAAUCUGUAGGAGAUUAAACGUUGAGCACCAUGAAACUGACUAUUUUCUUUACCUUGAUCAUGUUACUACUCGGUGUAGUGUUUGCAUUCCCUUCUGAAGGUAGCGAUGGAACUAACUCCUUGACAGAGGCGGAUAAGCAAGGAGGACAUCAUGAACAUGCAGUAGACGGCCAUCAACAUAAGUCGGAUGAAGAUUCCCACUCAGACGAGGACAGCAAGGAGCACAAACCUUGUCACAAAACAAAGGCAUAAGAAGUAUAAGGCUUUUGUGGAAUAAAUUGCUUGAUAGAGUAUAGGUCAAGAUCUGGGACAUCAAGACCACAAAAUAACGUUGCUUCCCAUAAUUUAAAUUCACCUCACUGAUUACUAAAAAAACCCUUGAUAAAUACACUCAUGGCAAAAUUCUUUUCUUACC